UACAGAGGGUGCAAGCGUUAAUCGGAAUUACUGGGCGUAAAGCGCACGUAGGCGGUUUUUAAAGUCAGAUGUGAAAGCCCCGGGCUCAACCUGGGAAUUGCAUUUGAAACUGGGAAACUAGAGUGUGUGAGAGGGGGGUAGAAUUCCAAGUGUAGCGGUGAAAUGCGUAGAGAUUUGGAGGAAUACCAGUGGCGAAGGCGGCCCCCUGGCACAACACUGACGCUCAGGUGCGAAAGCGUGGGGAGCAAACAGG
rnacentral:rRNA from 1 species